rnacentral:rRNA from 1 species
CGGAGAAUUGCAUCAGAAACUGUUGAACUUGAGUGCAGAAGAGGAGAGUGGAACUCCAUGUGUAGCGGUGGAAUGCGUAGAUAUAUGGAAGAACACCAGUGGCGAAGGCGGCUCUCUGGUCUGCAACUGACGCUGAGGCUCGAAAGCAUGGGUAGCGAACAGGAUUAGAUACCCUGGUAGUCCAUGCCGUAAACGAUGAGUGCUAAGUGUUGGGAGGUUUCCGCCUCUCAGUGCUGCAGCUAACGCAUUAAGCACUCCGCCUGGGGAGUACGACCGCAAGGUUGAAACUCAAAGGAAUUGACGGGGGCCCGCACAAGCGGUGGAGCAUGUGGUUUAAUUCGAAGCAACGCGAAGAACCUUACCAGGUCUUGACAUCCAGUGCAAACCUAAGAGAUUAGGAGUUCCCUUCGGGGACGCUGAGACAGGUGGUGCAUGGCUGUCGUCAGCUCGUGUCGUGAGAUGUUGGGUUAAGUCCCGCAACGAGCGCAACCCUUGUCAUUAGUUGCCAUCAUUAAGUUGGGCACUCUAAUGAGACUGCCGGUGACAAACCGGAGGAAGGUGGGGAUGACGUCAAGUCAUCAUGCCCCUUAUGACCUGGGCUACACACGUGCUACAAUGGACGGUACAACGAGAAGCGAACCUGCGAAGGCAAGCGGAUCUCUGAAAGCCGUUCUCAGUUCGGACUGUAGGCUGCAACUCGCCUACACGAAGCUGGAAUCGCUAGUAAUCGCGGAUCAGCACGCCGCGGUGAAUACGUUCCCGGGCCUUGUACACACCGCCCGUCACACCAUGAGAGUCUGUAACACCCAAAGCCGGUGGGAUAACCUUUAUAGGAGUCAGCC